rnacentral:rRNA from 1 species
AUAGCGUAUAUUAAAGUUGUUGCAGUUAAAAAGCUCGUAGUUGAAUUUUGGACCUGGCUGGGUGGUCUUGCCGCAAGGUUAGCACUGCUCUGGUCGGGUCUUUCCUUCUGGGGAACCUGAGUGCUCUUAAUUGGGUGCGCAGGGGAUCCAGGACUUUUACUUUGAAAAAAUUAGAGUGUUUAAAGCAGGCUUACGCUUGAAUACAUUAGCAUGGAAUAAUAGAAUAGGACUUUGGUUCUAUUUUGUUGGUUUCUAGGACCGAAGUAAUGAUUAAUAGGGAUAGUUGGGGGCAUUAGUAUUUUAUUGUCAGAGGUGAAAUUCUUGGAUUUAUGAAAGACUAACUUCUG